AAACGUCAUGAUAAUUUUGGGCAGGCUUGAGGUCUGAGAAUUUGAUGUGAAUCUGUACCAGUAUUGGCAUGGCAGAGCUCUCUCUGUAAAGUCGAACUCGAGGUUUAGCUAUGGAGGUGGGCUCGUGGAGCAAACAGAUUUUUCUUGAAGAUCUUUACCACAACUGGACAAUGCAAAUGCAUCUAUUACAAAUAUAACGAAGGCUCUCUUUACCUGCAUAGUUUGAUAAGUUUAGAUACUAUCGAUCGAUAAUAAUUUUUUCGAAAAAUAUCAUAUUAUUAUUAGUGAGAAAAUGAAAUUGAAAAUACAACUAAACAUAAUGGUAAUGCGAUACAUCCUCGUCAUUAUUUUCUUGCAGAAACUACACGCUCCGGCAGGCCGACGAGGUUCUCCGGUCAUUCGUUCUUCUUGUCGCUCUUUCCGGCGAUUGAUCCGGAGCGGUAUGGUUCAGCACUGUAGGCGUAUUUCAUCAGCAGCGAGAAGAAAACCAUCUCCACAAUCACCAUUACAUUCUGGAGAGCUUCCUGGAGAUGCUCAACAUCCAGCCAGAAGUGGUUCGAUUUUACGAUCCCGACAGCAACCAGAAUUUCGAGCACGAAUCCCUGAAAAA